GAUGAAGAACGUAGCGAAAUGCGAUAAGUAGUGUGAAUUGCAGAAUUCAGUGAAUCAUCGAAUCUUUGAACGCACAUUGCGCCCCUUGGUAUUCCAUGGGGCAUGCCUGUUCGAGCGUCAUUUGUACCUUCAAGCUCUGCUUGGUGUUGGGUGUUUGUCUCGCCUCUGCGCGUAGACUCGCCUCAAAACAAUUGGCAGCCGGCGUAUUGAUUUCGGAGCGCAGUACAUCUCGCGCUUUGCACUCAUAACGACGACGUCCAAAAGUACAUUUUUACACUCUUGACCUCGGAUCAGGUAGGGAUACCCGCUGAACUUAGGCAUAUCAAUAGCGGAGGA
rnacentral:misc_RNA from 1 species